CAUUUCUAGAGGGUAUAGGCAGUAACCUCGGACACACUCGUGUUCAAGAAGUACUCCUGAGACAAAUGUUGCUGGACUGGCUUCAGAGAUGACCUUGUCUUUUCACCGGUUUUAAUGAGGGAAACAGAACAGAAUCAAGAUCACUUACUGAUGCAACAUCUUCUUUGUUAAGGCUAUCUCAGGUAACUUGGAGGUCUGAGGAAGAGCUACACUGGUUGAUUAUUGCAGGAAUGAAAGGCACUCUGACCUUGUCGACCGAACGCCUUGCUGCUUUCAAUGUUGCCCAUUAUGCUGAAGGCAGGCAACUCCUGGAGAGAGGCUGAAAUCUACAGGAGAGCCGCUUGCCGGGCAGCCUGCCAGCCAAGGCUUCAGCAGCCGCACGGCAGACACCGCCAGGCAGCAAAAGAAGCCAGCUGGGGAGGGAGAGAGGGAGCUGGAUCAAAACAUUGUUAGCACAGGGUAUAAAGAGCUCUCAGACGCUGAUCACAGAUUGCUUCUUCAUUAAUAGGGCUUUGCAUCAUCCACCUGAAAUGAAAAGCAGCAGAGAAGCAAAGUAGAAAGAAGAGCACAGCGAUAAUUUUUUUUUUGCAGUGAAAUGUGGUAGUCAUUAAAUUUAAAAAAUAAUUAAAAAAAAAAUACCAACCGAAACCCACAGUUUUCACAAGAAUAGGGAGAUUGUUGCUGCAUAAGGAUCCAUUGAAAAUACUCCUCCGAGGAAAACGGGUCAUAUAUUCAGUUGCUAUAAUUGUGCUAAAUCGGAAAACAUUCACCAUAAAAUCUUCCUUAGAAUAUUUUUGGAGCUGUAAGAGGCUGGAAAACAUACCACCUGGCAAACAUUCUCUCUCGUUUCAUGUGUGUGAGUGUGUUUUUAUAUAUGUAUUUCAGAAAACCACAACCUCAGAAUUCACAGUCAUAAGACGUUAUUUGAAAUUAUUUCCUAUUACUCUGACUGUAACUUUCUUUGCUCUGAGGCAGCUGUGAGGUUCCUAACUUGACCUGAGGAUAAUGUGGAGACUCAGGUGAAGCUGUUGAAGGGCACUGAUAGUGUGAAGCUGAUCCAUUUCAAAUGAAGUUAUCCAAAAAGAGAUUCAAACAUUACGGGCAUUUCAUUUAGAAAGAGAGCCUAUCCCAGCAGGGUCACUAGUGUUUCAAUGCCAUCAUGACUUGAAGGCUGCCUAGCGACUCAUAGAAAAUUAAUACAUGCUCUUCAUUUGUUGUUUGAGUUCCUUUUUUUUCUAUCACAAAAAAAAAAAACCCAAACCACUGCUAAAACAUGGACCUGAAAGUCUCCUGUUGUUUCCUGAAGCUGAAGGAAGGAUUGGAUGAUUGCUACAUUACUCACACAGUCAUGGAAGCCGAUGCUGCUUGCCACAGUAGGAGAGACACGGGGUUAGGAUGACAAAUGUAUCACAUAUCCUGUGUCCAGCAGUCACAUCAUACCUUCCCCAGCCCUGCUAAAUCCCUGCAUGUCCUGCCAGGCUGUGGAUGGGUGUAGUAUCUGCUUUUUAUGGCUGCAGGACCAGAGUAUGCUGACAAGUGCCACCCUGCUCUGACUCUUGCCGUCCUUCUUCUCCAGGUCUAGGAGGGAAGGCACAUAUUAUGCAUUCACAGGCACUUUCUACCUUGAGAGGGUGGUUAUAUCAGGUCUGUGCCGCUCAGAAAGAGAAGGCCUGCCUCACAUUGAUGCUGUUCUGCUGUCCAAGAAGCCUGGAGUAAGAAAGCCAAAUAAAUUGGUUGUAGGUGAUGUCCAGAACCAGGCACACAUUCCCCUCAUUGCUUGAAGCAGGGUGUUCGGACCAGCAGUGGAGAACGCAUCUAAAAUCUUUGCAUAUAAUAAAAAUAAUUAAUGACCUUUGUUGUUAAAAGGAACAUCUCCCAUCAAGAUUGCACUAAGACAGUCUGAGUUUGUCUAAGUUUAUCACCCAUUCAUUCCAUGCAGUUAUGUCUCUCAGGGAGCGUCAUAUUACCAAAUUUCUGUUUCCCUGUAGGAAUUGGCAACUAUGACCAAUGCUUCCAAUUAAUGUCUUUGUUUUAAACAAAACUGACUGCUCAACCAAAAUCUUUCACAGCCAGGCUUGUUUUCUAAUCUUUAACUCUCUGUCCUGUUUAUUUUUUGCAUUUUCUUCAGCAACUCAAUAUUCUUCUUUAACAUAGUGCUCCUGUACAAACCAUUCCACUGCAAAAUAGCCCAUAAAUGUCUCGAACCUCACUGAGUGCUACUCAGCUUUGCUAUUCAGCUGACUAUUCCCAAUAAGCCUCAGCUCAUUUUCAGAGCUGCUGAAGUACUCUACGCUGUAAGUAAUGGCUUCGAUUAUUUGUUCCAAGCCGCAUCACUAUAUGGUACGUCUGGUCCCUUUCUCUUUCCUUUUAUUGGAAAAAGAAAAGCAACAGUGUUGUCUCAAAGUGAAAGAAGCUAUGCUUUAAAACAACUUGUGUAAAGAACCUGAGUGUGCUAACACAGGAGAUCCUUUCAUGCAGGUCACACUUUCAGUAGUUUUUCCAUGGAAAAAAUACAGACUGCGGACAGAAAUUGUUAUAUUUACAGUUCACUCUGUAAUGAAAGGGCAUUCAUAUUGAAUACUACUUUUAAUAUUAUUUUUACUCCUGCCCUGUACAUUUCAAGAAGCAGUUAUCAGGAUUAGUGUUGGAAAAGAGAGCACAUCAUACAGGCAGAAUUGGCAUAGUAAUGAGAAUGAUGCCAGGUGAGCAGAAGGCUAACACACAAACGAGAGUAAAUAUAUUUGCUCCAUCACACUGCAGGAGCUAAGUGGCUUUUUCCCCCAUUCUUUCCAGAGUUCAAAUCCUUGGCAAACAGCUUGCUGCAGCUCAAGUUAUUUUGUUUGGAGAAAUCUAAAAAGGUUAAGCCAACUAACACCAUGAAACAAAUGGAUCAGAGGUAUUUGAGCUUUGGAAAGUCAAAGUAUUAAAUAAAUUGUAAGUUCAUACUGUGCCAGUUCUUAGUUUUCAUUGCUUUAAUCUGAAGGAUGAAGUAAAAUAAAACCGUGUCAAUUAAAAACAAAACAAAAUAAAAAGGUAUGAGUAACGUGACAUGACAUAUCUAAAAUGGAAAAUAAUUGUUUUCACUUAAUCUGCUCACAUGGAGCCUCAGCAAAUCAGUGUAGUUUUCCUGAAAGCAGUUCAAAGAACACAAGCUGCCAUUUGUACCUUGUGGUUUUUUGUGUGUCUCUGUGCCUGCCAUCAUCCUCACUUGCUUCCUAAAUGCUUUGUAUUGUAACUAUAAAAUAGGAGUUUUGACUGUGAACCUGACAACAUAUUCAAGGGUUAUUUUUGUCUCCAUGGAUGCAGUUCUCUGCAAUAUUAGUACCCACUUAACACAAAUGGCUUAUGAACAUAUACAACUGCACGCACUUUCAAAGCCAAAUUUUACUGAAUGUUGAAGGUACUUUGCAUGCAUCGGCUUUGGGCACAGACCUUCUUUUGUCUAUGAAUCAGACCUGGUAGGUAUUCAAAGAUCACAGAAAUGCAUACUACAUAAUAAUUUUGCCUGUCUACCCAGACCUUCACUCUAUCAAACAGUCAUCAUAAAGGCCAUUUUUCUAAAGUAUGGUGGUACAUUCACCAUGAAAUCACUGACAGAUAAAGACAAAUGUUUAGGAAUUAUCCCAUAGAGCUCUAAAAACAACUUUAUAAGGACUUUGUCUUGGUCCGAAAAGGAAAACUAUAUACUAGCAAAAUCAAAAAGAUACAAGUACCUUUCCUCUGUGUGUGUGUGUCUGUGUGUGUAUGUGCGUGUGCACAACUUGUUCUAUUUGGAGUUCUCUUUAUCCUUAUUUGCUUUUUUUCUGUUUGUUUUGAUUGGUAUUGUUUUCACAUGGAAGGCACUUUCUACUCCUAAAGCCUGGGUGUACAGGUAUCUGUGAUCCUUAGAAAGAUGACCAGGAUAGGAAACCAGAAAAAUACAUUAAAAUGUUGGUUCUUUUACUAUCUGUCCAACCCUGCAAGGUGCUGGAGUUUUACUGUUGUCAUUGAACUGACCUGGGAGAAAUGAUAAGCCUCUGGAAAGACCAUGCACCCCUGAUAAUUUGGCUCAAAUGGGUUCAACAACUGGGUUUGAUGCGUACAUGCAAUCUACGUUUGCUCUUCGCUUUAUUUUAAAGGUUGAAAUGUGGCAUUUCAAAAAUAUAAUGUCAGAUAAGUAAUAAGUUUGAAUGUUAAGGGUUUACUGAAUAUCAGAUUUCAUCCAAGGAGAUGAGAAGGGUAUAAUUUCUGCAAUAUUUGCUAGAUUAGGACUUUUAUUUUUGUAGGAAGGGUAGAUUCGUCACAGUGGCUGGCAGCUCUUUGUCAGCAGUUGGGGUAGGAGUACAAGAAGCUUCCUUGCGUUCAGUAUCAGCAACCCCUGUUUAAUUUGCAUUUGAGGGAGUUUUUUCCAUAGUGUAUUCAUUUGCCAGUGAGUUAAUGUGUCCCUGCAUAAUCAGAUAAGAACAGAAUAGAAUUACUAAUGAUAAGAGGAGGUGGAACAAGGGCAUGCCAGUAGAACAGCCUUUCUGUCACCCACCUAUUUUGAAUAGACCAUAAUUUCAACUAUCUCCAGUUUGGUUUGGUCUUAUUUCUUUUUCCAGGAUAGGAGUAGAAGUACAUUUUUCCCCUCAAAACUGAAUUUAGAAAAUUAAAUGCUGUGGUUGGCUAUGGCAGCUACUACAUCAUUCUGUGAAGCUGGAGUUAAAGAAUAAAGCACUCUUGCUUGCAGCUAGGCAAACGUGUCACUUACGUCUCAAAUCCAAUCCAAGAGCAAAUUAAUUAAAGCAGACUAAGAAAUAAUUUCUGUCAAGCACAAAGGAAAAAAUAACAGAAAAAUUUUGCUGCCAGUGCAACACAUUCUUAUCAUGUGCAAGUCAAUAGUCACGAUUGCAUUAGAGUAAAUCCAAACGUCACUAAUCUUUAGGGCUGCCAUUCAUGAGGCCGGCCUGCACGGUGAAGAAAGGAAAAACUUCCAGACAGCUUUGUCAGCUGGUAUCGGGCCUUCGGGGCUCAGAAAGGAGGUUGUGAGCAACAGUGGUGGGCUACCCUGCCGGACUUGUUGGUGUACAAGAGGCAGUGCUCCAAUCUCUCCACUGCAGGGUGUUGGCCAAGGACGACGCUUCAGGCUGUUUAGCCACAUCCCUUCUGCUGUCUCUUGGACAAAGCAGCAGUACAGACACCCUGGUGUUUAACGUUGUGUUAUUACUUCUAAGCUCCUGUAACUCAAGAUAGAUUAUUCCUUUUAGCUAAAAUACUUUGUAACAUGGAUGGAGCUAGUUUUGAAUCAGCGGGACAGGUGUUAAUAGCCAAGAUGCAGGAGGCCAAAUUUUAUCUCAUGUAUGAUACCAUUUCAUUUGGCUUCACCAGCUUCUAAUUUGGUUUUGUCUGAGCAAAUUCUCCCUGAACUCAGUGAGCUAUACUGUUUAAACAUGAUAGGUAACAUAGAAAGUCGAUACUUCACAUAUUUAUUAAUUCUGCUACACAAAUUUCACAGUGACUUAAAAAACAAUGAGCAUAUAUGCCAUGAUAUAGUGAAAGUGAAUAGAGAGCAAUGAAUGCCCAUAACAGAAAGUAAG